UGUCAUUUUUUCGUGUCCAACGUUUGACCAUUCGUUUUAUUUAAAAAUUUAUAAAAAAUUUUAAAAAAUUGUCACGUAUAAAAUACUAUUUAUAUUUUAUCAUCUAGUAACAAUAAAAAUAUUAAUCGCAAAAAAAUUUUAAAUAAGACGAAUGGUCAAACGUUAGACAUAGAAAA
rnacentral:pre_miRNA from 1 species